GACGAACGCUGGCGGCGUGCUUAACACAUGCAAGUCGAACGGAAAGGCCCUGCUUUUGUGGGGUGCUCGAGUGGCGAACGGGUGAGUAACAAGUGAGUAACCUGCCCUUGACUUUGGGAUAACUUCAGGAAACUGGGGCUAAUACCGGAUAGGAGCUCCUGCUGCAUGGUGGGGGUUGGAAAGUUCCGGCGGUUGGGGAUGGACUCGCGGCUUAUCAGCUUGUUGGUGGGGUAGUGGCUUACCAAGGCUUUGACGGGUAGCCGGCCUGAGAGGGUGACCGGCGACAUUGGGACUGAGAUACGGCCCAGACUCCUACGGGAGGCAGCAGUGGGGAAUAUUGCACAAUGGGCGGAAGCCUGAUGCAGCAACGCCGCGUGCGGGAUGACGGCCUUCGGGUUGUAAACCGCUUUCGCCUGUGACGAAGCGUGAGUGACGGUAAUGGGUAAAGAAGCACCGGCUAACUACGUG
rnacentral:rRNA from 1 species